ACUAUGGACAUUUUAACAAUAUGCAGAAGGAGACGGGUCUGGAACUAGAAAGCUAGGCUCUGACUGGUCUACUACAGCAAGGAAUGUGCCAGCGGCCAAUCUGAUAAACAUGUGGCAGAAGAUUUGGCAGUGGGUGAAGAAAUACUGAGAUUGAAAUGCAACCACAGGUGGAGGCUUCACCCAAACUUUUCAGACAGACAUGAGAUGCAAAGUUACCAAAGUAUAAAUGGUUGAAGGUUUAGGAGAGCAAGACAAGAAGGCAUGAAAUGUGAUGUCACUUGUAAGUUACUUCAAUAAUCAUGAACAGCAGCAGGAGCAACAACAGCAUCAGCAGCCGAAACCACAACUGCAGUAAGAGAUGCAACAACCACACCCACAACAACAAGAGCAGCAGCAAAAACAACAGAAAUUCCAGCAACCACGAUGACAACAGCAGCAGCAACACCAACAACACUAAUGAAUAUUGAAAAACUUGUACAAAAGUCAAUGAGGUCACAGACAUUUUCAGACAUUAUUGAUUAAAAAAUGCACAAUGAUUUAUUCGGGUUGAAGAGAAGAACAUAAAUGUUUUUAAAAAUGUGUACAUUUGAAGGUGUUUCCUAUCAAAUUGUAUCAAUUAAUUUAUGAAAAUAUAGCUUUAAAGAUAAAAAUAUGAUGCUUGAAAUGUCUACUUUUUAUUUGUCAUUGACUGAAAAUAAAUACAUUUUCUUUGAAUUUUCUUAAUGAAAUGAAAAAUAAGCAAUUUAUUAAAAUGUUAUAUUCAAAAUCAACUGAAAUUGAUAAAUUUUAGCUGCUAAAGUCCAUAAAAGGCUGAUUAGUCGGUGAAAAUAAGUUUUGUCGGUAGGUGAAGGCCACCGACAAAAUUAGUCGGUGGUUUCCAAUAAUUUGUCGGAGAAAAUCACCGACAAAUUUUGAUGAAAUGGAAUUUAGUCGGUGAUGGCAAAAUUGUCGGUGAAACUGAAAUUAGUCGGUGAAAAUCACAUUUAGUCGGAGAAAACCACCGACUAAUUGUUUGAUGAAACGCCCCCCGGGUUCUGCAUGUGUGUGUGAUGAAAACUCUUCAGCGGUACUCCAUGCACCGGCCCCCGAUGCGCCCCGGCGCGGCUCCAGCCCGCCGCGCUGCGCCAGGAAGCUCCGAGAAUUAAAGUUCACGAGCACUGCGAGGCAUUUUUCGUAAGCUUCCGUGCGCCUUAUUCGAGCUGAAACUGUGGAUCAACGAUGGGAUUAACAAGUGGAUUACUUUUUUACACCUCGACUUUCAAUUUCAGGUAUAAUUUUAUUGACAAUCUUGAAGAAUUAGAAGCAAAGUGGAGAUUUUUUCGCCUACUUUCACUUGAGUUGAUCGGAUUCGAACAUUUUCUCUUUCGAGUUUCGUGAGUGAGCUAGCCUGGCGCUGGCUGGCUGAGCUGUGCGAAGCACGCCCCGUCCCGAUUCAUCCACACUACAAUCGCAUCGCCAGUGACCAUGGAGAUCAUGGAGAUGGAGUCAUCCAAGACGACAAAAUACUUGUCGAAGUAUAAAGAUAGUUUUCAAGCAGAAUGGGACUGUGUGACAAUUUUCACAGGAAUCCCUCAGAGACUUUAAACAGUCCACAUAUAAAGCUCAUUUACCAUGUUUACCACUUCUGCAUCCCCUUCCCCCUCUGGCCAAUUAUAAAGGUAUUUUCAUGUUGAAUUCAUUCUUUUAUGAAUUAUUAAAAAAAUCUACUGUAUUGCCUGAAGUGUAUAUUUAGUCAAUGACAAUUCAUGAAUUCUCUCUAAUGUGCAUUUAAUCUAUCAGAAUUUUUUUUGAUGGUUUAGACAGCUGUCGGUUACUAUCAAAUGUUGUUUCCUAAUGUGUUUUGCUACCCAAAACUCCCAUCCGUGGGACAACGUUCCGCCGCUCCCUCACAAAAUCAUACCUCCGCGAAAUCUACUGGAUUCUAUCAUCCCAAUGUUGGCAGCUCUGGUAAUUAGAUCCUUAUGGGAUAAAUUGAUCACCCAUGGGUCAAAGAAAGAGAAACUGAUAUUGUGAAAUUGCAUCAUCAAAAAUAAAAUUGUAGGAAAAACUUUUGCAUUUUUAUGUGUCGUACGGGACAUUGCCAAAAAUAGGUUCGGAAAAAUCAGGGCUGCCCCUAUUAUGGAUAAUGAAAAUGUUGUAGAUAUGAUUUGGAACCAUCAAUGAUACAUUAUUCCAUUGACCUGCAAUAUUUUCAAUCUUCUUGUGCUUUGCCAAUAAUUGUUUCAGGCAGUGUUUGUACUUGACUAUUUAAUUAGCAAAAUUAUUGAAAAUUGAAAAUUCCAUUGUUCCCCCCAAAAAAAACUAUAUCUGACAUCACUUUUGGUUAAAACUCAUAAUUUUCAUAAAAUUUAGGUAAUCAUAGUAAAAUAUUACAUUGCUUAUGACUUAUUGAAAGCAUGUUGAAAUUUAUGAUAUUUUUGAAGUUCUAGUGUGGAAUCGCCCUUAAAAUAUCACUUUUGUGACCAAAAUUACUAAUUUCCAUACAGUUGCAAUUUAUUUUUCAUUAGUAACUUGGGAAUAAUUUUUGUAUUCACUAGAGCGCUUAAAAACUUGAAUUUUGGGCAUAUUUUUGUGUACGCCCUCUAUUGGUGUAAAAUAAUAUGGCAAGAAAAUUUUCAUUUUUUUUAUCUCUAUUUUUGAUUAAGAAAAAAAUAAUUUAAAGAAUCAAAUUUACUUAAGGGCCAAGUUGGAUGAGGGCAUGGUAGAGUGCGUCUUUUUUAUGUUUACAUCAGGAAAAGGUCUUGCUUCUCCUUCCAUGAACUUGGGUAUCUCAGCAGUUGUAAAGAAUUUCAUUAACUCCAAGUACCUGGCAUUCAUAUCCAAGAUGUGUAUAUUGGGAUCUUCUAUCAGAUUCCAUAGUGGGGUAGUGAUCAAUUUACAGAUCAAGCCGAGGGCUUUGCACCCAGCCAUGAAAAAGGGGAUGCCAAGGUCAUGGAGGACCCAAGGGGCUCCUCCAUCUUUUUCCCAAAAAUCCCUCAUUUCCUGGUGCAACAGGAACACCACAGAGGCAUUGUGAAAGAGGAUGUUAAAUCUGCUGCCUCUAUAUGGUGUGAGCGGCAAUGCCUUUUGAGGUCGUUUCGUACUGUUGUAACAAACUUUCCAUGGCAACUUGUCUUGGCAUCGCCGUCAUAUGCGAAGACGUUGCACACAGUCCGGAUCAUCCUGCAUGUUCCAGAUUCAGAUGCCCUCUUGAAUUUGGAAUCCUUGAUUGGGACGUUCUUCUCACCUUCAAAGUGUAAGCAUUCCACUUUUCUUGCCGUCUUGUUCACUACCUCUGCAAUAUGGACCAUGCCAUGCAGCCCACAGAAAAAGUUGUUUAGCCUCGUCAUUUCCCUCUGCAGAUCUCCAUCGAGAUGAGCCCAUCCUUCAAUCACAGCAGGAAGAAUCUCCGCCCUGUACGUUUCCAACAAUUUGCUAAACUUCAUCUAUGUCACAGCACGGUCGGACAUGGUAUUCCUUAUUCGGAAAAGAAGCUCAUGUGAUGCAGAGCUGUUUGAUUGUCUGUAAUACAGACUGUCUAUAUCCCAGAGAAUUUGUUUGCAAACAUCCAGAGUGUCCUUCCCGGAUUUGGUCGCCAGGUCUCUAAGGCCCACUAGAAAGGGUCUACCGCUUUCAUCUCUGAUGGCAUAGGCCCCAUAUUUUCUCCCAUAUUUUGAAGUCUCAUCUGUUUCUAAGGUCGUUGCCUCCCUACUUGACAAUUCUUCUGCUACUUGUGUCUGUGAAAUCACGAGCCUUUUCAAUCUGUAGCGUAAAAAUAUAAACAAACAAUAAUAAGCAUCUGUAUAUAUGCAGUUACAUUUUACAAUUAUGUAUUUGCACGAGAUGAAAUAAAUAGUCUAUGUAUCGCACAAAUUAAUUGUGACGUUUGAAUCUUGCAUAAAUCAAUAUUCUGGUUUUCUGUAACAAAAUUUACCUUUAAAUUCUGUAAAUGUGUUCAAAGAACCUUGAAUAAACUUUGCUAUAUGUGGUUG